AAAUAAAUGGUCAAUCAAUACCCAAAUAAGGUUUAUAAUCUCACCUCAGUAUUCCCCACGUUGUUUAGAUUGACUAUACUUUCUCCCAAACACUCGAUUUGACUCCUCUUAAGUGUAAAAUCAGCAGGCAGGGUGCUGUCAUUGUAAGAUCUCACAAACUUGAAGUCACUGGUGCGUGAGCCCGUUGUCAGGUAUGCGUCAUAAUUGUAAGAACUGCGCAGAGUUCCAGCUGCAUCCACAUCUGCAUAGUUUGGAGGGAAAUACGCGCUGGGAAUGGCGACUGCUCCAUCAAACAACAUUCUGGGCUUUCUACUACGGCAGAACCUCACGGCCAGGAUGAGAAUAAUGAAUGUCAGGAAAAAGGUGGAAACAGAGACCAGACCAAUGACCAAAUAUGAAGUUAGUUUGGAACUAUCCUCAUAAGCCAUGUCUUUCGGUUCUGGAACUUCAGCCAAGUUAUCUGAUAUGAGCAAAUAUACAUCACAGGUUGUAGAGAGAGAGGGCUGUCCGUUAUCUUUCACUAAUAUAACAAGGUUCUGCUUCAUACUGUCAGAUUCAGAAAUGUCCCGCUGUGCCCUGAUCUCUCCGCUGUGGAGACCAACAGUGAAAAGUCCCGGAUCAGUCGAUUUCACGAAGAGAUAUGAAAGCCACGCGUUUUGUCCAGAGUCGGCAUCCACAGCUAUUACCUUGGAAACCAGGGACCCCGCCAGAGUAGCUUUGGGGACCAUCUCAGUCAUCAAGGAGUUCCCUGCUGGAGCAGGGUAUAAUAUCUGGGGAGAAUUAUCAUUCUCAUCUGUUAUGAAGACACUCACAGUCACGUUACUGCUGAGUGGAGGAGAACCAUUGUCCCUGGCUACAACGUGGACUUUGAAGCUCCUAAACUGUUCAUAAUCAAAUGUUCUCACAGCAUGGAUCACUCCCGUGUCUCCGUUAAUGGAUAAAAAUGAGGACACCGGAACACCAUUGACACCACUAGGCAAUAGAGAAUAGACCACAGUGCCGUUCUGUCGCCAGUCUGGGUCUCUGGCAGUAACAGAACACAUAGAGGAGCCAGGCGUGUUAUUUUCAGUCACAUAGGCGCUGUAGGAUUGUUCUUCAAACACAGGUGGAUUGUCAUUCACGUCUGACACAGACAAAUGAAUAGUCAUUGAGGAGGAUAAAGGUGGAGACCCCUCGUCAGUGGCAGUGAUAGUUAUGUUAUAAUCUGAUAUUAUCUCACGGUCUAGUUCACUCGUUAUUAUUAGAGAAUAGUAGUUUUUGAUAGAAGGUUUCAGUUUGAAAGGAACAUUUUGUUGAAUGGAGCAGCGGACCUGUCUAUUUCCCUGUGAAUCUUCAUCUUGUACAUUUAUGAUCCCCACCUCUGUUCCAGGUAACACAUUCUCGGGGAUGGGAUUGUUAAAGGAUUUGAUCAAUAUCACCGGUGCGUUGUCAUUUAGGUCAGUGAUUUCUAUCAUUACUUUUGCAUUGCCAGCUAAACCAGACCCAUCCUUAGCCUGGACACGUACUUCGUAUUCUGUAUUUUCUUCAUAAUCUAUGGGACCCUGCACUUUCAUCUCGCCGGUCUUUUUGUCGAUGGAAAACAGUUUAGCUGCUUUAUCGGAAAUACGAUUGAACUCAUAUGAUACUUCUCCAUUUGCUCCUUCGUCUUCAUCACUAGCACUAACUGCAACUACAACAGUCCCUGUUGGAGAAUUUUCAGGCAAACGGACUUUAUACACUGUCUGGCUAAACACUGGUUUAUUAUCGUUAGCAUCCAACACAGUGACGUGUAUAACUACAGUACCAGAUCUCUGCGGAGUCCCACCAUCAACAGCAGUAAGUAACAACGUCACCUCUUGUUGUUGUUCUCGAUCCAGCUCUUUUUCUAACACUAACUCGCCAUAUUUUCCUCCGUCUGAGCUCGUUUGAACGUCCAAAAUAAAAUAGGCAUUCCUCUCCAGUGAAUAGCUUUGUAUACCAUUUAAUCCUAUGUCAGAGUCAUGAGGUUCAUCCAAGGGGUAUCGUGCGCCUUUGUCAGCAGAUUCCUGAAUUUCUAGAUCAAUACCUGCAUUGGGAAACCGUGGUGAAUUGUCAUUUAUAUCUUGUAUUUGUACAGUUAUGCGAUGUAAUUCAAGAGGUUUUUCCAGCACAAGCUCGUAUUUUAAAGAACAAGUAACCUUCAGUCCACACAGCUCCUCCCUGUCUAUUGUUUCAGCCACAAUUAAAUCUCCGGUAUUCACAUUAAUGUCACAGUAACGUUGACGACUGCCAUCCAUAUCCAAACGAGCUUUACGACCUGAAAGUCUCUUAGCAUCCAGCCCCAGAUCCUUAGCUAGAUUUCCGAUCACAGAUCCGCGUUUCAUCUCCUCUGGAAUAGAAUAGCUCAAGUCUCCAUUGCUGAUGCGCACCAGGCAAUGACAAAAAGCCAGGCGGAACAAAAAGGUAAAAACCGAAGAUCCUGUGUACCCCAUUCUGGAUGAUUAAAACCAAUUGUCAACAUAAGAGUUCAAAACUAGUCGAAAUGAUACUGCAACGUAAGAGUGCAAUAUUAGCCUCUCAAAAGGAAUAGCAAAACGAUUGUUAUCCGAAUGCUCUUCGGUGAUAGUGAUGCAAUGUAGCCUAUUACUCUUUUG
ensembl:lncRNA